GAAUUGUUCGCAAUGGGCGCAAGCCUGACGACGCAACGCCGCGUGGAGGAUGAAGAUCUUCGGGUCGUAAACUCCUGUCGAGUGGGAAGAACCGCUUCGGGGCUAAUACCCCCGGAGCCUGACGGUACCACUAAAGGAAGCCCCGGCUAACUCCGUGCCAGCAGCCGCGGUAAUACGGGGGGGGCAAGCGUUGUUCGGAAUUACUGGGCGUAAAGGGCUCGUAGGCGGCCGACUAAGUCGGAUGUGAAAUCCCCAGGCUCAACCUGGGAACUGCAUCCGAUACUGGCCGGCUUGAAUCCGGGAGAGGGAUGCGGAAUUCCAGGUGUAGCGGUGAAAUGCGUAGAUAUCUGGAGGAACACCGGUGGCGAAGGCGGCAUCCUGGACCGGCAUUGACGCUGAGGAGCGAAAGCCAGGGGAGCAAACGG
rnacentral:rRNA from 1 species